CUCUUACAAACUGGCUUCAUUUCUCUCCCUUCGCCACAAGCGCAAUGGUGUACUGUGCUGAACUCCCCUCGUUUGUAACCUCAGGAGUCGUAGCUGUACCAGCAGGCAAUGAGUAUUAUCAUGUAAAUAGUGAAGAGAGUGGGUGAAAUUAGCUUUGCCAGCAAGCAGAAGGGGAAGGGGCUUCAGUUCAGUUCAACGCCGCUUUGUUUAUUCAAAUAGUUAUCAGUAAGGUAACAUUUAGUCCUCAACUGGCAGAAAUACAACUGAACACGCCUGAUCUGUUGGGUUGUAGUGCCGAAUACUGUGGCUUGUGGCAGGUGCUACAGGAGGAAAACAUCUCAGAACAGGGCAGAAAGAGACAAGGUGGAUGGUGUGCUGUCAGAAAUUUGGUUCUACACCCAUCGCAAGGAGAUGACAUUGAGUUUGAUACUCCCAGCUCAUCUGAAUGUGUGCAAGCCCUUGGACUAUCAUUAAAAGCUGUGCAAGUUACUGUGCUGGGACGCCAGGACUGAAGUCUAUCUCCCUUCGCUGAAGACUGAUGACAAACAUGACAAGCUUUCUGAAUUUGUGCCUGUGCUAAACAGCAAGACAAUAGAGAAGUGUUGUGAGCUUGAUAUCUCUGGCUGACGGGACAACAAGCAUACAAAGAAAUGCAAGGAAGGGUUACUGUGAGCAGCCAGGUUGGUUCAAGAGAUCUUCCACAAGCAAUGUUUUCUUUUUUCUGUCUGCAACUCACAUCUUGCUGACUGCUGCCAAUCAUUUUGACCAUGAGUGCCAAGGAUACGAUCGACAUAUGAAGGAAAA